AGUGAACGCUGGCGGUAGGCCUAACACAUGCAAGUCGAACGGCAGCACAGUAAGAGCUUGCUCUUACGGGUGGCGAGUGGCGGACGGGUGAGGAAUACAUCGGAAUCUACUUUUUCGUGGGGGAUAACGUAGGGAAACUUACGCUAAUACCGCAUACGACCUACGGGUGAAAGCAGGGGAUCUUCGGACCUUGCGCGAUUGAAUGAGCCGAUGUCGGAUUAGCUAGUUGGCGGGGUAAAGGCCCACCAAGGCGACGAUCCGUAGCUGGUCUGAGAGGAUGAUCAGCCACACUGGAACUGAGACACGGUCCAGACUCCUACGGGAGGCAGCAGUGGGGAAUAUUGGACAAUGGGCGCAAGCCUGAUCCAGCCAUACCGCGUGGGUGAAGAAGGCCUUCGGGUUGUAAAGCCCUUUUGUUGGGAAAGAAAAGCAGCAGGUUAAUACCCCGCUGUUCUGACGGUACCCAAAGAAGAAGCACCGGCUAACUUCG
rnacentral:rRNA from 1 species